rnacentral:sRNA from 1 species
GUCCCAGGGAGUCCCACCAGCCUAGUGGCCAGACCUUCUGUGGGAUCACCGGACCCACCUGGAACCCCACUUGACCCAAGCCCACCUGCUGCAGCCCACUGCCUGGCCAUGACCAUCACCUACACAAGCCAAGUGGCUAAUGCCCGCUUAGGCUCCUUCUCCCGCCUGCUGCUGUGCUGGCGGGGCAGCAUCUACAAGCUGCUAUAUGGCGAGUUCUUCAUCUUCCUGCUCUGCUACUACAUCAUCCGCUUUAUUUACAGGCUGGCCCUCACGGAAGAGCAACAGCUGAUGUUUGAGAAACUGACUCUGUAUUGCGACAGCUACAUCCAGCUCAUCCCCAUUUCCUUCGUGCUGGGUGAGUUCCCCCUUCCGGCUGUUCCGGGGGAGGAUCACGAGGAGCUGCGGCAAGGGGCUGGGGUGGCGGGCGGGGGAAAGCCAGCGGCAGGUCGGCGCCUCUCUGUAGUUCAGGGAAAGGUGCGGACUGCAGCCAGAGAAACUGAAGUUAGACGUUAGCUAAGACGUCCUGCCGUUAGCAAUGAAAACCCCAUUUUCUGAGGGAAGCGCUGACAUCAUGGUCCCUGGAGCCUCUGCACGGGAGGGGAGAGGGUCUGGCGGAUUUCUGGGACCAGCAUGGGGACCCCCGGGUGACAGACCCCUUGGGGCUCUCGCGCCUCCAUGCGAGGCUCUGCCUGCCUCCCGCUCCCGAGCGCCUUCCAGGAGGGUUGGGGGCUAGGCCUGCUCGCAGCAGAAAGCUGGAGGAGCCGAGGCAUCGCCGGGUGCUGGACCCUGGGCUCUGGCCGCAGCCUGGCCCCUCGCCCCUCGCCCCCCGCCCCUCCUGCCCAGGCUUCUACGUGACGCUGGUUGUGACCCGCUGGUGGAACCAGUACGAGAACCUGCCGUGGCCCGACCGCCUCAUGAGCCUGGUGUCGGGCUUCGUCGAAGGCAAGGACGAGCAAGGCCGGCUGCUGCGGCGCACGCUUAUCCGCUAUGCCAACCUGGGCAACGUGCUCAUUCUGCGCAGCGUCAGCACCGCCGUCUACAAGCGCUUCCCCAGCGCCCAGCACCUGGUGCAAGCAGGCUUUAUGACUCCAGCAGAACAC